rnacentral:rRNA from 1 species
GCGGAGGAAAAGAAAAUAACAAUGAUUCCCUCAGUAACGGCGAGCGANGAGGGAUAAGCUCAAAUUUUAAAUCUGUUGGGUUCCACUUAACAGAGUUGUAUUUUGAAGAAACGUUUUCUGCGUCCAGGAUUAGCCUAAAUCCUUUGGGAUAAGGUAUCAUGGAGGGUGAGAAUCCCGUUCAUGGUUAAUCUUAAGGAAGCUCUACGAUACGUUUUCCAAGAGUCGAGUUGUUUGGGAUUGCAGCUCAAAAUGGGAGGUAAAUUUCUCCUAAGGCUAAAUAUUGGCGAGAGACCGAUAGCGAACAAGUACCGUGAGGGAAAGAUGAAAAGAACUUUGAAAAGAGAGUUAAACAGUACGUGAAAUUGUUGAAAGGGAAACGAUUGAAGUCAGUCAUACCAACGGGAAAUCAACCUUUUGAGCUYGGUCUCGUGGGUUUUGAAGAGUUUCAAAGCCUUCGGAUUCGCGGGAUUGGGAUCUCUUGGUGUACUUUUUCGUACGGUUAGUCAACAUCGGUUUUGAAUGUCAUAAAAUGACUGGAGGAAUGUAGCUUCGAUCUCGUAUUGAAGUGUUAUAGCCUUUGGUAGAUGUGAUGUUUGAGACCGAGGAUUGCAACGGAUACCCUUCAGGGCUAUUCGUCUGAUCUCUGAUACGUUGCCUUGAUGUUGAAAGCUUGCUUAUGAUGUUAGGGUAUUACGGUCAAAAGGUUAGAACGAAUUACAUUCGUUAAGGAUGUUGACGUAAUGACUUUAAACGACCCGUCUUGA